UACGUAGGGUGCAAGCGUUGUCCGGAUUUACUGGGCGCAAAGGGCGUGCAGGCGGUUUGUUUUGUCUAGGGUGAAAGCUCCCGGCUUAACUGGGAGAGGUCCUUGGAUACUGGCAAACUUGAGGGAGGCAGAGGAAAGUGGAAUUCCCGGUGUAGUGGUGAUAUGCGUAGAUAUCGGGAGGAACACCAGUGGCGAAGGCGGCUUUCUGGGCCUUACCUGACGCUGAGACGCGAAAGCGUGGAGAGCAAACAGG
rnacentral:rRNA from 1 species